UACAGAGGGCGCGAGCGUUAAUCGGAAUUACUGGGCGUAAAGCGCACGUAGGUGGCGACGUAAGUCGGGGGUGAAAGCCCCGGGCUCAACCUGGGAAUUGCAUUCGAGACUGCAUUGCUGGAGUACGGAAGAGGAGGGCGGAAUUCCCGGUGUAGCGGUGAAAUGCGUAGAUAUCGGGAGGAACAUCAGUGGCGAAGGCGGCCCUCUGGCCCAGUACUGACACUCAAGUGCGAAAGCGUGGGGAGCAAACAGG
rnacentral:rRNA from 1 species